UCAGCUUCCUUGAACACAACUGACAAUCAUAGUCUUGGAAACUUAUAAAGGUUGUUAUGUACACUGAAAUAUAUUUAUUAUUACACUGGACUUCAACAACUGGAGAUCACCAUCGCCUUCUAAGCACUUGGAGCUGUUAAAAUGGCUACUCAACCUGUGAUUUUGACUCAGCCACAGCAGGCCUUUGUGGAACAUUUUUCCCCAUUUGUUUGGGAUGCCAAGUUGCUGCAGAUAUGCAAGAAUGCUGCUUGUGUGGCCCAUCCAUGGCGAUGAGAUCUGUCUACAGGACAAAAUAUAAUAUUCCA